rnacentral:rRNA from 1 species
AAAUUGAAGAGUUUGAUCAUGGCUCAGAUUGAACGCUGGCGGCAGGCCUAACACAUGCAAGUCGAACGGUAACAGGAAGAAGCUUGCUUCUUUGCUGACGAGUGGCGGACGGGUGAGUAAUAUCUGGGAAACUGCCUGAUGGAGGGGGAUAACUACUGGAAACGGUAGCUAAUACCGCAUAACGUCGCAAGACCAAAGAGGGGGACCUUCGGGCCUCUUGCCAUCGGAUGUGCCCAGAUGGGAUUAGCUAGUAGGUGGGGUAACGGCUCACCUAGGCGACGAUCCCUAGCUGGUCUGAGAGGAUGACCAGCCACACUGGAACUGAGACACGGUCCAGACUCCUACGGGAGGCAGCAGUGGGGAAUAUUGCACAAUGGGCGCAAGCCUGAUGCAGCCAUGCCGCGUGUAUGAAGAAGGCCUUCGGGUUGUAAAGUACUUUCAGCGGGGAGGAAGGGAGUAAAGUUAAUACCUUU